CCCUUAGAUGUUCUGGGCUGCACGCGCGCUACACUGAUGCAUGCAACGAGUUUUCGACCUUGCCUGAAAAGGUUGGGUAAUCUGUUUAACAUGUGUCGUGAUGGGGAUAGACCAUUGCAAUUAUUGAUCUUCAACGAGGAAUUCCUAGUAAGCGCGAGUCAUCAGCUCGUGCUGAUUAUGUCCCUGCCCUUUGUACACACCACCCGUCACUCCUACCGAUUGAGUGAUCCGGUGAAUGAUUCGGACCAGCGUGCUGCUCAGAUCCUGCGCAGUGUGCUGGGAAGUCUAGUGAACCUUAUCACUUAGAGGAUGGAGAAGUCGUAACA
rnacentral:rRNA from 1 species